rnacentral:rRNA from 1 species
GCGGAACCCGAAAACCUGUCUCAGUUCGGAUUGGAGUCUGCAACUCGACUCUAUGAAGCUGGAUUCGCUAGUAAUCGCGCAUCAGCCACGGCGCGGUGAAUACGUUCCCGGGCCUUGUACACACCGCCCGUCAAGCCAUGGAAGCCGGGAGUGCCUGAAGUGCGUGACCGCAAGGAACGCCCUAGGGUAAAACCGGUGACUGGGGCUAAGUCGUAACAAGGUACC